rnacentral:rRNA from 1 species
UCUGGUGGCGAUAGCGAGAAGGUCACACCCGUUCCCAUACCGAACACGGAAGUUAAGCUUCUCAGCGCCGAUGGUAGUUGGGGGCUCUCCCCCU